rnacentral:lncRNA from 10 species
AGUUCUUUUUUUUUUUUUUUUUAAUUGCACUGGGAAACUUCCCCAAUCUCGGCCCCAGUUCUUUCUCCAAACUAAGGAGUCAUGGCCUUUCGCCCGCUAGUCCAGUAUGCACCCGUAGGCGCUUCAUUUUCUCUCCUCUUGUCAGCUUUUACUGCCUCCUGAGGCCUUCGUCUUGUUCACACUGAGUGUCCAGUCCCUCCAAAUCCGGCUACACUCUACUGGCAAGGAGCACCUGGGCCAUGUUUUAGAGAUCAUCCGAGGACUAACCCCAAAAGUUUAUGAAGAGAAAGCAGAGGCCGAGCUGAAGAGAUGGACCCGGGUCACACCCAGGUAAAGGCAGGAUCUAAACUGAAACUGGUGUCAGAUCUGGUUGCCUUGCACCCCUGAUAUCAGGUGAAGCAACACUGGGCAGGAUAGAGCAGAGUGAGGUCAGAGUGUGAAGAUCCAGCCUGAUGCCCAAACUGACGCCUCUUCAUUCUCCCCUGCUCCAUCUGUAAACGUCACGGUUAAUCCAUCUACUUUAUUGCAUUAUAUAGAGAAAUAAAUGAAAUGUCAUAGCUGUAUGC